ACUCAAAGGAAUAGACGGGGGCCCGCACAAGCGGUGGAGCAUGUGGUUUAAUUCGACGCAACGCGAAGAACCUUACCGGGGCUUGACAUCCUGCGCACACUUAGGAGACUAAGUUUCCGGGCAACCGGACGCAGAGACAGGUGCUGCAUGGCUGUCGUCAGCUCGUGCCGUGAGGUGUUGGGUUAAGUCCCGCAACGAGCGCAACCCUUGCCGUGUGUUGGUCGCAAGAUCUCUCACGCGGGACCGCCGGUGACAAGCCGGAGGAAGGUGGGGAUGAUGUCAAGUCAGCAUGGCCCUUACGUCCCGGGCUACACACGUGCUACAAUGGGAAGGACAACGAGUCGCGAACCCGCGAGGGCAAGCUAAUCUCACAAACCUUCUCUCAGUUCGGAUUGAAGGCUGCAACUCGCCUUCAUGAAGUCGGAAUCGCUAGUAACCGUAGAUCAGCUACGCUGCGGUGAAUACGUUCCCGGGCCUUGUACACACCGCCCGU
rnacentral:rRNA from 1 species